GACGAACGCUGGCGGCGUGCUUAACACAUGCAAGUCGAACGGAAAGGCCCUGCUUUUGUGGGGUGCUCGAGUGGCGAACGGGUGAGUAACACGUGAGUAACCUGCCCUUGACUUUGGGAUGACUUCAGGAAACUGGGGCUAAUACCGGAUAGGAGCUCCUGCUGCAUGGUGGGGGUUGGAAAGUUUCGGCGGUUGGGGAUGGACUCGCGGCUUAUCAGCUUGUUGGUGGGGUAGUGGCUUACCAAGGCUUUGACGGGUAGCCGGCCUGAGAGGGUGACCGGCCACAUUGGGACUGAGAUACGGCCCAGACUCCUACGGGAGGCAGCAGUGGGGAAUAUUGCACAAUGGGCGGAAGCCUGAUGCAGCAACGCCGCGUGCGGGAUGACGGCCCUCGGGUUGUAAACCGCUUUCGCCUGUGACGAAGCGUGAGUGACGGUAAUGGGUAAAGAAGCACCGGCUAACUACGUG
rnacentral:rRNA from 1 species